rnacentral:lncRNA from 1 species
GGUUUUGGCUCAGGGGUUGGGGCAGGGGUGGGCUUUACUCUUUGUGGGUUCGGAGACUUCGGGUGCGCAGGCAUUUCCCGGGCAUCGCGCCCCAGCCUGUGACAGAAUUGGAAGUGUUCCUCUGCCUGCUCGCCUGCGAGGGGGAGGAUCGCAGGGCUGCGGCCGCAGGAGAGAGAUUUGGACCUAGUGAAAGGACGUCGCCCCUUAGUCCCAGCUAUGGACUCCACAGCAUCAGUUCUCCCUUCUCAGGACCCUGCUCUUCCUCCAGAGAGAUACCCAGGAGAAAAGGGAACAGCCAGUUUAUUCCUGAAAGCCAGGCCCCAGGUGAGUUGAGGUUCUCUUCGUUUUUCCUCAAAUGACUGAACUACGGAUGUCUUUGCCCCC